rnacentral:rRNA from 1 species
CACUGAUUAAGAGUUGGGCCUGCUCGGUGAUUAAUAUUUAACAGCUGCGGUAUUAUAACUGUACUAAGGCAUAAUAAUUUGCUCUAUAAAUUGGGGCUAGAAUGAAUGGUUUGACGAAAAUUUGACUGUCUCUAUCUUAUUUAUAAAUUAAUUUUUAUAGUGAGAAAGCUUAAAUUAUUUAAAGGGACGAAAAGACCCUAUUGAGCUUAUAUUAUUUUGAUUAUAUGAUUGUUGUUUAUUGGAAUUAAUUUUGAUUGGGGGUGAUCAAGGAAUAAAUUAUUAUUAAAAUUAACUUCCUUAAUUAAUUAUUUUAUGGAGAAAACCAAAUUUUUUGCUAUGAUAAGUUACCAUAGGGAUACAGCGUUUUUUUGA